rnacentral:rRNA from 1 species
GAUGAACGCUGGCGGCGUGCUUAACACAUGCAAGUCGAACGAAGCACUUUAUUUGAUUUCCUUCGGGACUGAUUAUUUUGUGACUGAGUGGCGGACGGGUGAGUAACGCGUGGGUAACCUGCCUUGUACAGGGGGAUAACAGUUGGAAACGGCUGCUAAUACCGCAUAAGCGCACGGCAUCGCAUGAUGCAGUGUGAAAAACUCCGGUGGUAUAAGAUGGACCCGCGUUGGAUUAGCUAGUUGGUGAGGUAACGGCCCACCAAGGCGACGAUCCAUAGCCGACCUGAGAGGGUGACCGGCCACAUUGGGACUGAGACACGGCCCAAACUCCUACGGGAGGCAGCAGUGGGGAAUAUUGCACAAUGGGCGAAAGCCUGAUGCAGCGACGCCGCGUGAGCGAAGAAGUAUUUAGGUAUGUAAAGCUCUAUCAGCAGGGAAGAUAAUGACGGUACCUGACUAAGAAGCACCGGCUAAAUACGUG